CUGAGAGGAUGACCAGCCACACUGGAACUGAGACACGGUCCAGACUCCUACGGGAGGCAGCAGUGGGGAAUAUUGCACAAUGGGCGCAAGCCUGAUGCAGCCAUGCCGCGUGUAUGAAGAAGGCCUUCGGGUUGUAAAGUACUUUCAGCGGGGAGGAAGGGAGUAAAGUUAAUACCUUUGCUCAUUGACGUUACCCGCAGAAGAAGCACCGGCUAACUCCGUGCCAGCAGCCGCGGUAAUACGGAGGGUGCAAGCGUUAAUCGGAAUUACUGGGCGUAAAGCGCACGCAGGCGGUUUGUUAAGUCAGAUGUGAAAUCCCCGGGCUCAACCU
rnacentral:rRNA from 1 species